rnacentral:rRNA from 1 species
CGCUGGCGGCGUGCUUAACACAUGCAAGUCGAACGAGGAUCAAGGAAGAGCUUGCUCCGAGAUGAUUCGAGUGGCGGACGGGUGAGUAACGCGUGAACAAUCUGUCUCAUACAGGGGGAUAACGCAUCGAAAGAUGUGCUAAUACCGCGUAGGACCACAGCAUCGCAUGGUGCAGGGGUGAAAGGAGCAAUCCGGUAUGAGGUGAGUUCGCGUCUGAUUAGAUAGUUGGUGAGGUAACGGCCCACCAAGUCAACGAUCAGUAGCCGACCUGAGAGGGUGAUCGGCCACAUUGGGACUGAGACACGGCCCAGACUCCUACGGGAGGCAGCAGUGGGGAAUAUUGGGCAAUGGGCGAAAAAGCCUGACCCAGCAACGCCGCGUGAAGGAAGAAGGUUUUCGGAUCGUAAACUUCUGUCCUUGGUGAAGAUAGUGACGGUAGCCAAGGAGGAAGCCCCGGCUAACUACGUGCCAGCCGCCGC